GACGAACGCUGGCGGCGUGCUUAACACAUGCAAGUCGAACGGAAAGGCCCUGCUUUUGUGGGGUGCUCGAGUGGCGAACGGGUGAGUAACACGUGAGUAACCUGCCCUUGACUUUGGGAUAACUUCAGGAAACUGGGGCUAAUACCGGAUAGGAGCUCCUGCUGCAUGGUGGGGGUUGGAAAGUUUCGGCGGUUGGGGAUGGACUCGCGGCUUAUCAGCUUGUUGGUGGGGUAGUGGCUUACCAAGGCUUUGACGGGUAGCCGGCCUGAGAGGGUGACCGGCCACAUUGGGACUGAGAUACGGCCCAGACUCCUACGGGAGGCAGCAGUGGGGAAUAUUGCACAAUGGGCGGAAGCCUGAUGCAGCAACGCCGCGUGCGGGAUGACGGCCUUCGGGUUGUAAACCGCUUUCGCCUGUGACGAAGCGUGAGUGACGGUAAUGGGUAAAGAAGCACCGGCUAACUACGUGCCAGCAGCCGCGGUGAUACGUAGGGUGCGAGCGUUGUCCGGAUUUAUUGGGCGUAAAGGGCUCGUAGGUGGUUGAUCGCGUCGGAAGUGUAAUCUUGGGGCUUAACCCUGAGCGUGCUUUCGAUACGGGUUGACUUGAGGAAGGUAGGGGAGAAUGGAAUUCCUGGUGGAGCGGUGGAAUGCGCAGAUAUCAGGAGGAACACCAGUGGCGAAGGCGGUUCUCUGGGCCUUUCCUGACGCUGAGGAGCGAAAGCGUGGGGAGCGAACAGGCUUAGAUACCCUGGUAGUCCACGCUGUAAACGGUGGGUACUAGGUGUGGGGUCCAUUCCACGGGUUCCGUGCCGUAGCUAACGCUUUAAGUACCCCGCCUGGGGAGUACGGCCGCAAGGCUAAAACUCAAAGGAAUUGACGGGGCCCCGCACAAGCGGCGGAGCAUGCGGAUUAAUUCGAUGCAACGCGUAGAACCUUACCUGGGUUUGACAUGGAUCGGGAGUGCUCAGAGAUGGGUGUGCCUCUUUUGGGGUCGGUUCACAGGUGGUGCAUGGCCUGUCGUCAGCUCGUGUCGUGAGAUGUUGGGUUAAGUCCCGCAACGAGCGCAACCCUUGUUCACUGUUGCCAGCACGUUAUGGUGGGGACUCAGUGGAGACCGCCGGGGUCAACUCGGAGGAAGGUGGGGAUGACGUCAAGUCAUCAUGCCCCUUAUGUCCAGGGCUUCACGCAUGCUACAAUGGCUGGUACAGAGAGUGGCGAGCCUGUGAGGGUGAGCGAAUCUCGGAAAGCCGGUCUCAGUUCGGAUUGGGGUCUGCAACUCGACCCCAUGAAGUCGGAGUCGCUAGUAAUCGCAGAUCAGCAACGCUGCGGUGAAUACGUUCCCGGG
rnacentral:rRNA from 1 species